rfam:Schistosoma curassoni strain Dakar, Senegal genome assembly, scaffold: SCTD_scaffold0001044
AGCAUUCUGAAUCCAUACUGAGAUUUUGUCAAGCACCAGACCAUCAGGGAUGAUGAGACUCCUAGAAUAGAUGAAGUA